rnacentral:rRNA from 1 species
GACGUAGGGUGCAAGCGUUUGUCCGGAUUUAUUGGGCGUAAAGAGCUCGUAGGCGGUCUGUCGCGUCUGCUGUGAAAACUGGAGGCUCAACCUCCAGCCUGCAGUGGAUACGGGCAGACUAGAGGUAGGUAGGGGAGAAUGGAAUUCCUGGUGUAGCGGUGAAAUGCGCAGAUAUCAGGAGGAACACCGGUGGCGAAGGCGGUUCUCUGGGCCUUACCUGACACUGAGGAGCGAAAGCGUGGGGAGCGAACAGG